rnacentral:rRNA from 1 species
AGUGAACGCUGGCGGUAGGCCUAACACAUGCAAGUCGAACGGCAGCACAGGAGAGCUUGCUCUCUGGGUGGCGAGUGGCGGACGGGUGAGGAAUACAUUGGAAUCUACUCUGUCGUGGGGGAUAACGUAGGGAAACUUACGCUAAUACCGCAUACGACCUACGGGUGAAAGCAGGGGACCUUCGGGCCUUGCGCGAUUGAAUGAGCCGAUGUCGGAUUAGCUAGUUGGCGGGGUAAAGGCCCACCAAGGCGACGAUCCGUAGCUGGUCUGAGAGGAUGAUCAGCCACACUGGAACUGAGACACGGUCCAGCCUCCUACGGGAGGCAGCAGUGGGGAAUAUUGGACAAUGGGCGCAAGCCUGAUCCAGCCAUACCGCGUGGGUGAAGAAGGCCUUCGGGUUGUAAAGCCCUUUUGUUGGGAAAGAAAUCCAGCUGGCUAAUACCCGGUUGGGAUGACGGUACCCAAAGAAUAAGCACCGGCUAACUUCGUGCCAGCAGCCGCCGUAA